rnacentral:lncRNA from 1 species
UAAAAGUUGAACUAAUUAGUGAUUAAAAACCCAAAAGGAACCACACCAACACAGAUAUAAUAUUCAUCAUCAAUGUCAUAAUCAAGACAAAUACAUUUCUAUUUCUUGCUCAAAUCUCCUCUUGACUCCUCAAGUACUCUCCGGUAUCAGCUUGGCGAAUAACCACAAGCCCGUUCGGGUCCAUCUUACGGCAAUCCUGAGUCGAUUUCGCAGCAAUUCCGAAUCCCAAAGGCAGAUCCGACAUCGAAAACACUACAACACCAUCAUACGCAUUUAUAUUAUCAGUAAUCCGCCCUAACCCACCUUUAAUCACAUCGUUUCCGUACAAAAACGACAUCUCCGAAGUGGGUUUAAGCCAUACUUUAUGCUUAGCAUUGGCAGCCAACAAGUUCAAGGCUUGAAUGGUGAGAUGGAACUUCCCGCUUUUCGUGAACUUCCCGAUGUUAGUGCCAAGGGCCACGAGGUUUUCGCGCUUGAUGUUUGUGGCUCGUUUGACUAGCGAUUCGGACACGUAGUAGACUCUGUUUUUGUGGAGACGGAAGCAGUAGCGACCGGGGUUUUGAUCGGGCCCUUCGUGUGAUGGUGAUUCGACGAUGUUCUUGAGGUUGUUUCCUGUGAAUUUGAAUAGCUUCUCGAAUACUUGAGUCGUCUCGGAUUCAUCUAACGGCCUCAUCUCUACCUCUGUUGUUCAAUUUCACAAUUGACAAAGAGGAGCCUGCUGGAACUCAACCCUACUAAUGAUCUCGGUUCCUAGUGGAAGAGACGAAGACUGCAAUAGAAUCAAAGAUUCUUGUAUUCAAUAG